UCCUGUGGACCCCUGAGGAUGCACCUGGACCACUUUGGGAAUCACUAGUGUAAAGCUUGUUGAGAUUUAUCAUUGAAGCGUGUGUAAAGAUUUUCGCGAACGCACUGUAUUUACUAUGUGAGGCCAAGAGCUGAAAGAAAUCAAAAUAAUGUUAAAAGUAUAAAUGAAUAUGUCAAAUAAGAAUUUAUAAAUGGCAUUUUUGACAUCUGAAAAUUACGGGAGGUUAAUUAAAAUAUUUUGAGAUAAAAUUCAUCUGAUAAUAAAAAAAUGUGGAUAUAGCAGAAUAUUAUACUAAUUCAAAGAUAAUUAUUUUUUCAACUCGAGAUUGAAGUCGGAAACUCAUCAGACAUCCCCGGGUGGCAAGAUGGGCCAGAUAUUUCCCAUGACGAGUCUUCAUUAAAGAACGCCAUAUUUCUAUUUAUUUGAAGAAAUUUAUGAAUUAAAUAAAUCUCAACAAGCGACGCCACUGUUUAUCGCAGACUGUCUGCCAGGAAUAUUUCGAAGAAAUUGUGUACAUACGGCUUCGGCUAAUAGAAAUGCAUUAUUUUCCGUUUUAUGGAUAUUCGCCCUCUGAAACUAACUUUUUCAUUAAAGUCAAAUCGCCAUAUUAUAGUUGUAUGCUGAGAACAGGAUCACCAUUUCCCGAUUUUGAAGUAUGACCCUGUAGAAUAACAAGCGAAAACGUUAUGUUUUUUCCAUUGAAGAACAGCUCAGCAGGAUAUUAUGAAAUCCAAUAAAAUUUAAGUCUCAAGCGGCAAGACUUCAAAGGCUAAAAUUUAGGCAGUUAUUGUAACUGAACAGGCAUUCUUUUACGCCAUAUACGUGAUGUAUCUUCCGUGGUAGUCGUCCGAUGAAUAUUUAACUCGGUAUUAUGUUUAUCUUGUAGAUUCAUGUACAUGAUGGAAUAAAGUGUUUAUAUGA